rnacentral:rRNA from 1 species
GGCUGCAAUCGUCUCAUUAUCAAUUCAGAUAAUAUGGAAGUCAUUGACACAAUGAAGAACGGUGGAGAGUCUGCGGGAGCAGCGGCAGCAAUUUUUGAGGAUUGUUUUUUUAUGGCUUGUGAUUUUCCACAAACCAGUUUUGAACAUUGUAAUAGAGAGGCGAACAAAGUAGCUCAUGAGCUUGCUAGAUUAGCAAAAUGUUCCACGACUAGGGAUUGGAUAGAGAAGCCCAUGGAAACACUUGUAACUCUUCUGAUAGACGAUGUAACCAUUAUCUCUAAUUAA